GAUGAACGCUGGCGGCGUGCUUAACACAUGCAAGUCGAACGAAACACCUUAUUUGAUUUUCUUCGGAACUGAAGAUUUGGUGAUUGAGUGGCGGACGGGUGAGUAACGCGUGGGUAACCUGCCCUGUACAGGGGGAUAACAGUCAGAAAUGACUGCUAAUACCGCAUAAGACCACAGCACCGCAUGGUGCAGGGGUAAAAACUCCGGUGGUACAGGAUGGACCCGCGUCUGAUUAGCUGGUUGGUGAGGUAACGGCUCACCAAGGCGACGAUCAGUAGCCGGCUUGAAAGAGUGAACGGCCACAUUGGGACUGAGACACGGCCCAAACUCCUACGGGAGGCAGCAGUGGGGAAUAUUGCACAAUGGGGGAAACCCUGAUGCAGCGACGCCGCGUGAGUGAAGAAGUAUUUCGGUAUGUAAAGCUCUAUCAGCAGGGAAGAAAAUGACGGUACCUGACGAAGAAGCCCCGGCUAACUACGUG
rnacentral:rRNA from 1 species